rnacentral:rRNA from 1 species
UACGGAAGGCAGCAGUGGGGAAUAUUGGACAAUGGGCGAAAGCCUGAUCCAGCCAUGCCGCAUGAGUGAAGAAGGCCUUCGGGUUGUAAAGCCCUUUUAGUGAGAAAGAUAAUGACGGUACUCACAGAAGAAGUCCUGGCUAACUCCGUGCCAGCAGCCGCGGUAAUACGGAGAGGGCUAGCGUUAUUCGGAAUUAUUGGGCGUAAAGAGCGCGUAGGCUGAUUAGUAAGUUAAAAGUGAAAUCCCAAAGCUUAACUUUGGAAUUGCUUUUUAAAACUGCUAGUCUAGAGAUUGAAAGAGGAUAGAGGAAUUCCUAGUGUAGAGGUGAAAUUCGUAAAUAUUAGGAGGAACACCAGUGGCGAAGGCGUCUAUCUGGUUCAAAUCUGACGCUGAGGCGCGAAGGGCGUGGGGAGCAAACAGGGAUUAGAUACC